CCCUUAGAUGUUCUGGGCCGCACGCGUGCUACACUGAGUGGAUCAGCGGGUCAGGUUGCGCGAAAGUGUUUCCUAAUCUUUAAAUCCGCUCGUGAUGGGGAUUGACGGUUGCAAUUUUCCGUCAUGAACGAGGAAUACCUUGUAAGCGCGGGUCAUCAUCCCGCGCUGAAUACGUCCCUGCCCUUUGUACACACCGCCCGUCGCUCCUACCGAUUGAGUGGUCCGGUGAGGCUUUGGGAUCUGGGCGGAAAGAGCGUUUCGCUGUUUCUGCCCGGAAAACUCAGUCGAACCUUAUCAUUUAGAGGAAGGAGAAGUCGCAACA
rnacentral:rRNA from 1 species